UACGGAGGGUGCGAGCGUUGUCCGGAAUCAUUGGGCGUAAAGGGCGCGUAGGCGGCCUUGUCAGUCAGACGUGAAAUCCCCAGGCUUAACCUGGGAACUGCGUCUGAUACUACAAGGCUUGAGUGCGGGAGAGGGAUGUGGAAUUCCAGGUGUAGCGGUGAAAUGCGUAGAUAUCUGGAGGAACACCGGUGGCGAAGGCGGCAUCCUGGACCGACACUGACGCUGAGGCGCGAAAGCCAGGGGAGCAAACGGG
rnacentral:rRNA from 1 species